AUAUAUAUAUAUAUAUAUAUCUAUCUCCUUAUGUUAUAUAAGGGAUAAGAUAUGAGCUAUAGAGCAUAUAGUUAUAUAUGGUCGUUUCAUUUACUUUCUCUCUCAAAGUUACGAAGACAAAACACAAUGCAGCUUGUCAUGUUACCGAGAUACCACGACGUGUAAUUGCCUCCAUCUUCAACGCUUAAAAGUCUGCUACAAAGAGCUGACACUAGAGACUCCGUCCAUAAAUCUUCUCACAGAAAAUAUCUCCACAUCAUUCAUAACAUUUACACCAGGUGUUCCCAAACUAAUGGUCAUGACGCCCACCUAGGGCUUCCUUUACAAAUGGGCUCACUUUCUUUCGAUACUAAAAUUACUAUCAGAAAUAUCGGAAGAUGUUCGUGUGCUAAUAUUUUGAAAUGUUACAGGGAGUCAUGUUUAUUCAAACGAAUACCUGCUGUUUUAGUCUUUUUCACUAUCCUGACACGCAGCACGUAACAGUAAACAUGGACAUAUCUUCAAAUCGCAUACUGACACUCUAAAAAAAACAAAAAAAACAAAAAAAAAACAACAACCACAACUGGCUUAUAAAUAGAACGGCUGGGUAAAUAGAGGACAGAGCACAUUUUGGGCUAAACGAACCCAUCGAGUUGGGUUGUUCAUUUUAACAUUAGCUAAGGUUAGUUUAAUUUUUACAAAAAUACAGGGUUAAUUUUAUUUCAUAAAUGGGUUAAUAUUUUCAGGUUUAUUUUUACCCUUUGAAAAUAUCAAAUAUACCACAUUAUAAACGAAUAUAUCAACAUGGUAUUUCCUUUAUUUAUACACAAGGAGGUGUUCAGAAAUGUAUUGCUAGAGCUGCUCAAGUGGUGUUUAUAUAUAGACUUUGAAGUAAAUGACUCUCAUAAGUCAUAUAUUUAAGAUGAAAAUGUUAGAAUUUGAUCAAAGGAGAUAUUUAAAAACAUCUUUAAAAAAAAAAAAAAAAAAAAAAUGAGUAACCAAUUUACGAUCCAGUGGCAUUACAAACAAGUACGCUAAAGCUAAUGAAGAUAGCAGUGCAUUUAAUGUCAUGUAAACUGGACUGUUAUCACACAUUUUUGCUUUUUCUAGUGUACAGUAAUGAUUUUAUGCAUAAAUAUACUGAUACGAACCUUAUUUCUCCAAAUAAAUCUAAGAGUCUGUCCGUGUGAAAACCGCUACCUCCACCUGAGGUGAAUUCAAACAGUCCUCACUGAGUUGAUUUGAGCCAAGGAGCUGGGCUGAGGGGUCUGGGUGGGGGAGGGGUGUAUUGAUUCAACUGUCAGUGAAAACAAUCCAGCCACUAACCCAGUGGUUGAGUUACAAAAAACUACCCAAGACUGAGAAAAUAACCCAAUUAAAUGACUCCAAAGGCUCAACCCAGCGUUUGGGUAGAAACAAUAACCCAGCAUUUGUAUUUGUACAUACUGUUCUACAGUAGACCGUUACCGAGUACUAACACUAACCGGUUUCCUUAUUACAGUUAGCGUGUGAAUUUUAAAAAACCUCGCAUGUAGCCUUCAAACCUACAGAAAGCUCAGUUCUGUGUACCAGUCUUCUGGACUUUCCAGAUUAGUAAAUACUUUUGAAUAUGAGGUCAGGGCUUUCGAUUUGGAGACGUGGCUCAUGACAACAAUCACGACGACAGCGGAGAGACGGAGGUCGUCGGUGUGUUUAACAUCGGCGUGCGUAAAAAAAAAAAAAUCGCUAGACGGUGUACGGUCCGACUUGGAGACCUGACAUACGGGCACUGUGUGAAUAAUGAUGAUGCUCGUAUUACCGCUGCUUCUACAAAAUCUCCUGUCAAGUACAAACCAGGCUGCUUUGUGUGUCGCUGUAUUACACCACCCUAGCGUGGAUUAUUCCCCUACAACAAUACGACACUUCCCACUAAUCUGGUAAGUCAGAGCAGGGAAUAUUCUGUUGGUUAUUAUCUGCUGACUGUACACAUACAUACACAUUUACUCGUAUUCGUUUAGCAGACGCUUUUAUCCAAAGUGACUUACAAAUGAGGAAAUACAAUACAAGCAAAGUGAUGCAUCAAGUAGUGCUACCAUGCAAGAUCUUUUAAUUAAGUUCUAGAGAAGCAAAGUGCAGAGAGUUGAGGUGUAAGAGCCGAGAGUACGUUUAAGGGUUGGUUAGGUGUUCACGGAAGAGGUGGGUCAUUAGCUGUUUUUUGAAGAUAGUACUGUCUCCGGAUUGAGGUCGGAAGUUCAUUCCACCACUGAGGGACAGUUAGUGUGAAGGUUCUGGAAAGGGAGUACCACAAACGUAUGGUACUGACAUAAAAUAAUGUUCGAAAUGUUCCAUAGUCCUAAAUUAUGAAUCUGGAAUUUAAAAACAGCUGCACUGUGGUCAAGGCUUGGGAUCACAGGAAAUUAAUAAUGUCCGUUUGGGGUCGUUUGCCUCCAAAUACCAUUUCCGGAAACUCCUGACUUACGUACGUUUUUAAAAUCAGUGCUGCUGUUCUAGAAAACUCAUCAACACCUUCUGACCAAUCAGA
ensembl:lncRNA